rnacentral:rRNA from 1 species
GACGAACGCUGGCGGCGUGCUUAACACAUGCAAGUCGAACGGAAAGGCCCCUUUGGGGGUACUUGAGUGGCGAACGGGUGAGUAACACGUGAGUAACCUGCCCUUGACUUCGGGAUAACUUCAGGAAACUGGGGCUAAUACCGGAUAGGAAUCCUUGCUGCAUGGUGGGGGUUGGAAAGCUUCGGCGGUUUUGGAUGGACUCGCGGCUUAUCAGCUUGUUGGUGGGGUAGUGGCUUACCAAGGCUUUGACGGGUAGCCGGCCUGAGAGGGCGACCGGCCACAUUGGGACUGAGAUACGGCCCAGACUCCUACGGGAGGCAGCAGUGGGGAAUAUUGCACAAUGGGCGGAAGCCUGAUGCAGCAACGCCGCGUGCGGGAUGACGGCCUUCGGGUUGUAAACCGCUUUCAGCAGGGGCGAAGCUUUUGUGACGGUACCUGCAGAAGAAGCACCGGCUAACUACGUG